CAUACCGUAGCCUUCCAAAUCGCGACCGCACAUUUUUUCUUCGAGAACCAAAAUUUCUGUUUAUCAUCACUUUAUGAGUAAUUAGCCAUUUUCAUUCGUUUCUGUUGGUUCUGAUUUUUUGAAGUAGUAUUGAUCAUCACACGAAUUUCUUACAAAGUUCAAUCGCGAUUAUGGUUUUGAGACUUUUUUUAAAGCGAGAAUUUCUGCUUACACAGCCGGGAAAAUUUGCUGUUUGAACGUCUCGGAGAACCGGUCCCUGUGUGAAAUAGGAAACCAUGAAUUUCAUAUUCGGUGCCGCGCUAAUGGGGAACCUGAACGAAAUCAGCAACCGGCAACCCGCGGCGUCGGCAGCAGUGUAGCAGGUCUCCAUAAACGGUAUGGACCGUAUGGUGUUAUUUGUAAUUUGCUAAUUGGAACUGUUGAGUUGAACUUACUUGUGACAGGUGUGUAAUUUUUGUUCGCAAUGUUACGCCAGAUUUUUUAUCGUUAAUGUUUCUGCGGUUUGUUAAUCGUGAUUAGCCGUGGACAAAUUCAAGAGAUUUCAGUAAGUAGCUCUUCACUGUGUUUAGAGACCCACGGUCUGGUUCUUCGAUACCGGUGUUGUUUGACUAUGGUCCAACUGAUUGCGCAACCUGCGGCAACUCAGUGCUUUAAUGGGCUGUUAUUUAUUUUAAUGGAACUUCCUUGAGCGUUUAAUGAAAAUUGUCUCUGCAUAAGGCGCAAUUGAUGACUCAAACUAGAGUCGCUGACAGAAUUCUGAAGUACAAAAUACAUACUGAGCGCCGGGAAUUUUUAUAUAUUUUUGGAAUUCGCCAGUUCUGUUUUGUUCAUUUUUCGUAUUGUCUCUGAGCACAACAUACGUAGGGAAUAGGGAUGUGGAUGCGUUAUUCCGGUGGUGAUGUUAUGCCUGUUUUUAGGUUACAAAAUUAGGAGCACGAGUGAUGGCUGUUUGAGAACAGCAUCCUCAUAGAAUCCCUCUUGUUGGUUUGCGUGAUGAAAGGAUAAGAAACUGGUAAUGGAGGAUAUUGCCCUUGUGUACUUUGUCAAGGAAGCCGCGUUUGAUAGUAGGUGUCGAUACAAGCAUGACAGGCGUCUCGGCCGGAUCGGAAACCAAUUAAGUGAAGAUUAAAACUGGAAAGUUUGCCGGAGUACUGGUUUGUCACAAGUCUCACAACGGAUGCAUUAGACCUGAUGAAUGGUACUUGCUGUUGUUUGAAUCAUCAUGGUGCUUGGCCGACUAUUCAUAUACAGGAACUUCUGUGGGCUGCCGUACCAGAUUCAGUUUAUUGUAUUGGUCGUCAAAAAGAUCGCUAACGUGGAAGGAUUAGAUAAGUUUCUAGCCAGAAGGUUCUUUUACAUCUCACACAGGAUUCGCGAAUAGUUGCGCUGCUGCAGUGGACUGCUUGCCGCUAUAGUUUUUGGCUAACUCUGCCUGGAGCUGAAUUUUUGUAUUCGAUGCGCAUUUGAAACUCUUUCUGUGAGGAAGUUGUCAGAUGUCCUUUUUAGAUGUUACCUUUGUCCAGAAGUAUUUUGUUCAAGAGUCGAGGAGAUAGCAAAAUGGAAGAAUAAAUUUACAGCUCUGUAAAUUUUGUUAAGCUCUGUAAAAUU